rnacentral:lncRNA from 1 species
UCAAACUUCUGGCAAUGACGAAGCAUGAAGCCAGCAUCUCAGGGAGAGGUGAGAAAACUGACACUUGGAGAGGUAGAGUAGCUUUAUUUACUUCACACAAGCUUUUGAUGAAUUUCAAGUCUCAACCUAGAAGUCUUCCUCUAAGGGAAAUUAAUGUUAUGACUGGAUAAGACAAUUGUGAAGAAACUGCACUUCGAGGUUGUCUGUCUCCGUAUUCCGAUGGAAAAGGCUGGACUUUAGAAGCAUUGCUCGCUCCUUCAGUUUCUAACAAGAGUUUUACAGUUUCUGAUUAAAUACCAAUGGGAUAUCACCUCCCAUCUCUUAGGAUGGCUGUUAUAAAAAGGACAAGAGAUAACAAGUGUUGGUGAUGGUGUGGAGAGAAGGGAACCUUUGUACACUGCUGGUUAAAAUGUAAGUUAGUACAGCCAUUAUGGAAAACAGUAUGAAAGUUCCUGAGAAUCUAAAAAUAGAACUACCAUAUGGCUCAGCAAUCCCUCCUAUGAAUUAUAUAUCAACAGGAAAUGAAAUCAGCAUCUGAUAGAGAUAUCUUCACUCCCCUCUUCUCCGUGCCCCACCACAGCAUUGCUCCCAACAGCCAAGCCAUGGGAUGAAGUUACUGUGCAUUGAUGGAUGAGUGGAGAAAAGAAAAUGUGGGGGAGGUGUUUGUGCAUGUAUGUGUGUGUGUGUAUAAUAUAUAAUAAUAUAAUAUUUUUCAGCUUUUAAGAAGUUGAAGAUACUGCCAUUUGUGAUAACAUAAAUGAAUCUGGAGGAUAUUAAGCUAAGUAAAAUAACUUAGGGAGAGAGAAAAAUACUGCAUAAUUUCUGUUACAUAUGAAAUCUUUAAAAAGGUUUAAUACAUAGAGACAUGAUAGAGUGAUGAUUUGGGGGAUAAGAGACACAAGUCAACGUUUCAGUUAUAUAAAAUAAAUGAAUCUAGAGGACUAAAGUACAAUUUAAAGGUUAUAGUUACUAUUUUUAUAUUAUAUACUAGUGAUUUUUGAACAGGGUAAACUUUAGGUGCUUUGACACCAAAAGGAAACUACAUGAGUUCAUGUAUAUGUUAAAUUGUUUGACCGCAGUCAUCAUUGAUAUGUAUAUGUAUAUAUAUAUAAUUAUGGGCUCAUUAAAUUUAAAUGCUAUAAAUAGGUAACAAAGAAUAAAGUUAAUUGAAAAACUGCA